rnacentral:lncRNA from 1 species
GGGAGUUUAGUCGCGGCGCUGGCAUCGCGGAGCAAGUCCUAGAGCUGGAGUCCGAGAAGGGACAGGCGUACAUCUCAGUGUCGAACUUCUACGCGACAACGAAAAAUCCAGGUGAGUGAAACCACCAUUUUGCUUACCUCAUGCAAGUGGAAACUUGCGAGAUCUUUGCAACUUCGCUGCAAUCCUGCGGAGAGAUCAAAGACUUAGCACGAGGCAGAAAGAUCCACGCAGAGAUACUGAAAAGCAGACACGGGGGAGAUAGGUACCUGGCAAAUCGUCUCGUUGAGAUGUAUGGCAAGUGCCGGAGCGUCGAGGAAGCAAGAGCUGUUUUCGAUGGCAUCCUGCGAAAGAACGUCUUCUCCUGGACACUGAUGGUCA